rnacentral:rRNA from 1 species
GACGAACGCUGGCGGCGUGCCUAAUACAUGCAAGUCGAGCGAAGCGGCGGAUGGGUGAGAAACGCGUGGGUAACCUGCCCUUAAGCUUGGGAUACUAUCUGGAAACAGAUGCUAACACCGGAUACUAAAGGAUGGACCUGCGAUGCAUUAGCUCGUUGGUAAGGUAACGGCUUAACAAGGCGAUGAUGCAUAGCCGAGUUGAGAGGCUGAUCGGCCACAUUGGGACUGAGACACGGCCCAAACUCCUACGGGAGGCAGCAGUAGGGAAUCUUCCACAAUGGACGAAAGUCUGAUGGAGCAACGCCGCGUGAGUGAAGAAGGUUUUCGGAUCGUAAAGCUCUGUUGUUGGUGAAGCGGUAAUCAACCAGAAAGUCACGGCUAACUACGUGCCAGCAGCCGCGGUAAUUC